ensembl:lncRNA novel transcript
CAUUUGGAGAAACACCGCAAUAUUUCAUAAAGAUGAAAAUUUAUUUCUAGUGAACUUAUACGCUUGUCAAUAAAUAGUAACUUUAAAAAUUUAGUUGAUUGUAAAUGAUCUUUUCUAAUUAGGGAGUAAUUAUGACUGUGUGAUUUAAAAAGGUAAUUUUGAACCUGUAACUUUACUGAAUUAUCUCUGGUAUCCUUUUUUAUAAUAUAUAUUAGAGUGAAUAGUAACAAAAACUUUAGCAGAAUAUUCUUUCCUUACUACUUUUCAAGUAUAUGCAUUCUUUUGAAGAUGUUGAAGUGAGAAAUUAAAUAUCUGAGAACUGCAAAGGAAAAAUAAUCCAGAACAUAGAAAUUUUAUUAGGAUAAUAAACAUCUGCAGAGGUAUAUCACAGGAUGAACUCUUUAUUUUUUAACAAAAUGAAUUUUAAGAUAAAUGUCUUUAUCUGCAGAUGCACCUUAAAACAAGAAAAUGAAGAAAAAACAAAUGUUAAUAUGCUGUACAAAAAAAAUAGAGAAGAAUUAGAAAGGAAAGAGAAACAAUAUAAGAAAGAAGUUGAAGCAAAACAACUUGAACCAACUGUUCAGUCACUAGAGAUGAAAUCAAAGACUGCAAGAAAUACUCCAAAUCGGGAUUUUCAUAAUCAUGAAGAAACGAAAGGUCUGAUGGAUGAAAAUUGCAUUUUGAAGGCAGAUAUUGCCAUACUCAGACAGGAAAUAUGUACAAUGAAAAAUGACAACUUGGAAAAAGAAAAUAAAUAUCUUAAGGACAUUAAAAUUGUUAAAGAAACAAAUGCUGCCCUUGAAAAGUAUAUAAAACUCAAUGAGGAAAUGAUAACAGAAACAGCAUUCCGGUAUCAACAAGAGCUUAAUGAUCUCAAGGCUGAGAAUACAAGGCUCAAUGCCGAACUGUUGAAGGAAAAAGAAAGCAAGAAAAGACUGGAAGCUGACAUUGAAUCUUAUCAGUCUAGACUGGCUGCUGCUAUAGGUAAACACAGUGAAAGUGUGAAAACAGAAAGAAACGUAAAACUUGCUUUAGAGAGAACACAAGAUGUUUCUGUACAAGUAGAAAUGAGUUCUGCUAUUUCCAAAGUAAAAGAUGAGAAUGAGUUUCUUACUGAACAACUUUCUGAAACACAAAUUAAAUUCAAUGCCUUAAAAGAUAAGUUCCGUAAGACAAGAGAUAGUCUCAGAAAAAAGUCAUUGGCUUUAGAAACUGUACAAAAUGACCUAAGAAAAACACAGCAGCAAACACAGGAAAUGAAAGAGAUGUAUCAAAAUGCAGAAGCUAAAGUGAAUAAUUCCACUGGAAAGUGGAACUGUGUAGAAGAGAGGAUAUGUCACCUCCAACGUGAAAAUGCGUGGCUUGUACAGCAACUAGAUGACGUUCAUCAGAAAGAGGAUCAUAAAGAGAUAGUAACUAAUAUCCAAAGAGGCUUUAUUGAGAGUGGAAAGAAAGACCUCGUACUAGAAGAGAAAAGUAAGAAGCUAAUGAAUGAAUGUGAUCAUUUAAAAGAAAGUCUCUUUCAGUAUGAGAGAGAGAAAGCAGAAGGAGUAGUAAGUAUCAAGGAAGAUAAAUAUUUUCAAACUUCUAGAAAGAAAAUUUAAACAUUUGGUUCUGGAUACAUGUUGAACUUAGUUGAAUAUAAAAAUCUAGAUAAAAAGUGUGUUUACCAUACUGUAUAAUUCCAUUUACAUGAAGCAUCCAGAAAAGAUAAAUGUAUAGGGACAAAAAGUAGAUUAAUGUUUGCAAGGGGCUGGGGCUGGAAGCUGGUAGUGACUGCUAAUGGGCAUGAGGAAUCUUACAGUGAUGGAAAUGCUCUAAAGUUGGAUUGUAGAGAUGGCUGCACAACUCAGUAAAUGUACUAAAAAUCUUUUAACUUUAAGUCAAAACAGAUACAUUCUAUAGUAUGUAAAUUAUAUUUCAACAAAGCUGUUUUAAUAAAAAAGGAAAAAUGUUUACUAUAUCGGCUUAGAAACAUGCCUCAUUUCUAGGAAAUAAAAGAGGUGAGAGAUGAUUUACUUUGAGAAAAGACAUUGUGUCACCUAUGAAAUUUUAUUAGGCACAGAGUCAUAUUUUAAGGUAGAUAGUUCUGUACUGCUGAAAUAGUAAUUUUAAUGUCUUUAUAUUGCCACAUGUUAAGACCAUAAUGUAGUUAUAAAUGGAAAUGUUUACACCUGAAGUAUUUUCAAAUUAAAAUUUAAUUAAGUGAUUUUCUUCGACACUUAAUUCUAGAUUCCCCAGAUGAAUUGAAGUGUAUUGCUGUGUCUUGUAGUACCUUGCUUUAACUAGCUUUUUAUGUAUUUUAGUUGGUAUAGCUUUGUUAUUAUUCAUAUUAAUUUAACAAAUCUGAAAAUAUGUCAAAUUACGUAUUUUUAUGACCACGUAAUGUUUUAAAGGCACCUACUUGUUAUAAAAUCAUAAUUUAGGAGAAAUGUGGUAAAACUUAGCAAAACUAUAUUUGGUUUAGUCUUCCCACUGGUAUUUAUAGUUUACUUUGAAUAUUUAUAUUAAUAAUUAGGUCAUAAUUUUUAUUUCAAGGCUCAAUGACUGUCAUUGGAAUAUAAUUUUGUUCAGUACAAAGAUACUUGUAGCUGUCUGUGAUUUACGAGUUAGGCAUUACAUCUCCAUUUUCAGACUGAGGGGUGGCAGGCUUCACAUACAGUGGGAAUGGAGUAAUUACAGGAGGGAGUUGUAGGAGCUUUGAAGUCAGAGAGGGAGGUAGAGGCCUUUUUACCUAGGGCCUCAAAGGCCAUUGGAAUUUUACUUUUAUUCUGAGAUAGGAAUCUGUUGGAAGGAUUUGAACAGGUGAUUGAAUAUGUUAGGAACUUUGAGGCUGAGUUGAGCUUCUGAGAUGAUUGAAUGUUGGAAUGAAUCUGUUGUGUAAGUAAGAGAAUACCAAUUUGGCAGGAAGAGAACAUAUUCUGCAUCCCUCACUGAAUUCAGUAAUACAUAAAAAUGUGUACAUGUGAUUAAAAGAAGGUGAAUUGAUAUGUGUGGUGAUAAUUUUCAAAGUAGAUAUGUUAGAAUUAAACAUUAUUAACAUAAUUUAAUAAUAAGGCAAUUUAUAAAAUCAGUAACAAAAAUAUUUUAUCAGGUGGUUGUGAGACAACUUCAACAAGAAGUGGCUGACAGCGUAAAAAAAUUAACAACGUUAGAGUCUCCACUGGAAGGUAUAUCACAUUGUCACAUUAAUUUGGAUGAGACACAGGCCUCAAAGAAGAAAUUAUUUCAAGUGGAAAGUCAAGUAUGUAUGGAAUUUAACAUGUCAACAGUUAUUCUGUAGCUAGUUGAAUUAUAUAACAUGUUUUAGGAUACUAAUUUUGGCAGAAGCUUGAUUUUUUAUUUUCAUUAUAAUGAAUGAUUUCCAUUUUACUAUCUUUAUAAUUAUUUUUUUAUGUUGUGACUUUCAUUCUACCAUUUUGAAAAACCAUUGCAUACCUUUUCUCUUACAAUAUGUACCCUUGGAAAAGUUGAGAAUUAUACAUCAUUCCUCAUAGAAAAUUGACUUUUUUCCUGUUAAACAGUAUUUUUAAGUAAUUUUUGUAUUUCUCUGAUGAGGCAGGCCAGAUUAAAUCAGAGGAGAAUGUUUCAUGGAAUGUUCCAGAAAAUUGUCUUAUUUCUUCACUUUUGUGAAUGGACACAGAAUCUGUGUCUAUUUGUUUCACAGAUUCUAGGUUAACUUGUACAGAAAGGCCGUUAUACUAUUCUUUGAAAUGUGCAUGUUUUAGGUUAAUUUACAAACUAUUUGAAAAGUUAGGCAUUUUCUUUAUCUAUCUUUUAUUUAAAAUAUACUGUAAAACUGUAGAAAUAUUUAGAUUUGAUAUAGCAUGUACAUCAAAAAUUAAGAGUUGAGAAAAUUAUCUUGAUCCUGCCUUUGGAUUUUAAAAAAUUCACUGAGAUGUCAUUCACGUAUCAGACAGUUCAACCAUUUAAAAUGUACAACUCAGUAUCUAUUAGUAUGUUCACAGCAUUUUCAUCACCCUGAAAAGUGACCCCACAUCUCCUAGGCAUGACUGCAGCCUUCCUCCAUGUCCCUCCACCUACCCCUGUUGUAGGCAACCACUGUCUACUUUUGUCUCCAUAUGUUUGCCUGUUCUGCAUGUUUCAUAUACAUAGAGUUAUACAAUAUGUAUACAUAUACAAUAUGUAUAUGUAUACUUUGGGACUGGCUUUUUCACUUAGCAUAAUGUUUUUAGAAUUCAUGCAUGUUUUAGCACACAUUCAUAGUUUAUUUCUUCUUAUAGUUAAAUGAUAUUCUAUUCCAUGGCUAUACUGGUUUUCCAUUCAUUCAUCAGUUGAUGGACCUUUAGGUUAGUUUCCACUUUUUAGCUAUUAUGAAAAAUGCUGCUGUGAACAUUCACUUACAGGUUAUUAUGUGGACACAGGUUUUUAUUUCCCUGCCAUUGGACUUUAUCCUCAGAGUUAACUGGGCAGAUUUCAGCACUUGUCUUGCUCAUGCUAUCCUUUCUGCCUUCUCAGUUUCUGUUCAUCUAGCCUCAUUCAUUCAGACCUGGCAGACAAUUUUUUUGUUUUCAUGAAGCUUUCUCUGACUGUUCUCUCAUUGACCUUAUGUGUUAGCAAUCGUUGUCUAGUCUGUGCUGAAAAACUUAGUCCUUAAUUUUACAUGGCUUUUUUUUUUAUGGAAGAUAAUUUUCUCUCAUUAUAAAUUUGCUUAAUGGGGGAAUAAUAUAUAAUAUGUAUGCCACCUAUCCUUGCAUACAUUGAAAAUAUUUUAGCUUAGAGGUUUGUAGCAUACAAUUCAAUCCUUUAUACCAUACCAAUUAUUUCUUCUUUGAGACCUUGACACAGUAAGGUUAUAUUCUAAAUGUAUUUUUAGCAAUUAAAUAUCAAAUCUAACCCAAUUAGUCUAACACAGGAGAUGCGUUCAAUCACGUGUUUAUGUUUUUCUCUCUAUGAAAAAGAAUCUCAAUUGGCCUUUUUUCACUAUGUAGCCAUUACUGUGUUUCUGGAUUGCUCCCAGUCUGUCAGCUGAACAGUUCUGGGUGCAGCUUGUCUGAUGAAGGAUAGCACAGCCCCUCAAUCUCAGUACUCAGCAGAGUGCUUGUGAAGGCAGCACCACAGCAACAGUUGCUCAGAGUGAACGGAUUCAGGAGCCUUGACUUAGCAAUAGAGUCCAGGGUUUUCAGCUCAGUGUCUUUAGCCUGUCUCUGCUGGUCAUGUCAGUUACAUACUAUUCCAUCCAGGAGGUGCUAUUUACAUUGUAGUACAUACAUAGUCAUUGCCUAAUGAGUCAUACAGAGAGAAAAGUAAGUUAUAAAUUAUGUCCCCCAUUUGCUGCAACUCUCAGUGGUAAGAAUGAUUAAGUGCAGCUAUAGGAGAAUACUUCCAUUGGCAUGCCACCUGCGUAAAACACACAAUUUUGUUAAGAUAUACAAUAAAAUUAUUAUGCUAAUAGCAAAUAUUUUAUGUAGCUCACUAUGUUCCAUGUAGUCUUCUAAGUGCUUCAUGUUAGUCCCCAGUUAAACACCUGGUUUUGGAAGGCUGAGGCAGGAGGAUUGCUUGAGCCCAGGAGUUUGAGAGCAGCCAGAGCAAUAUAGUGAGACCCUGUCUCUAAAAAAAAAAAAAAAA